UUUGAUCAAAAGCAGAAUGAAAAUUAGAAUGAGUUUCUAAUGUUUCAUUAUUUGAAUUAUCAUUAAAAGAUUGAAAAAAAUAUGAAUAUGAAAUUGAGUUUGACAUAUAUUCAUACUCAUAUACAUAUUUGGGAUGCAGUUUGAUUAAAGGAUUGAAUUGCAUGGUAACUUGCCACUGAAGGGUAUUUUUGGUAUUUCCACCAAAUUCCAUAUUUUUCGGGUAGACAUGACACGUUGCUAGACGUCAAUCUUGUUUUAUAGGUUUGAUCAAAUUAAAGAGUUUAAUUCGAUCACCAAUUAGAAAGGAUUCUAAUUGUUAAGUUCGGGUUCGUGCAGUUUGGACUUAAAUCGAUUAGAAGAGUUCAAAUCAAGUUGGGUCAACUCGCACUCACACCUAUUGCUGGCUAAGUAUGGAACCCAAUGGGUCACACACAAGAAAACUUAUCAAGGGUCUAAUUAGAUUAGAUCAUGUUUGCAAGAUAAACAUCCUAGCAGGUGUUGCAGACCUUAGCUCCUGAUUCGAAUUGGAUUCGAAUCUGAUUCGAAUUGGAUUCGAAUCUGAUUCUUAAUUGAUCUAAUUUGAUUAGGUCAUAUUCUAAUAUGGGUUAGCCAAGAGUUGGCACCUAAUUGGCUUGGUUUGAGUCUAAUUGGAUUAGAUUUAAUAAAUCAUUCAAUCUAGACCAUUAGAUCUUGAUCUACCGUUGGAUGAAGACAUAAUGGAGAGUUGGUUUAACCCAAUUGAAUUGGGUUAGAGGAUGGCUACUGUUACGGGGGAACUUAGCCGCCACGCCCCACGUGACCGGCACGCGCACCCAGGAAGACUACGGCAGUCCCUUGAUCCAGUAAUCCGACCCCGAGUCGG
rnacentral:lncRNA from 1 species